rnacentral:rRNA from 1 species
UACGGAGGGUGCAAGCGUUGCUCGGAAUUAUUGGGCGUAAAGGGUAGGUAGGUGGUCUCAUUUGUCUGGGGUGAAAGCCUUGAGCUUAACUCAAGAAGUGCCCCAGAAACGGUGAGACUGGAGUCCUGGAGAGGGUCGUGGAAUUCCCGGUGUAGCGGUGAAAUGCGUAGAGAUGUGGAGGAACACCGAUGGCGAAGGCAGCCCCCUGGGCCAACACUGACGCUCAGGCACGAAAGCGUGGGGAGCAAACAGG